AGGAGAAGCCUUUUCAUUUGGAGG
rnacentral:siRNA from 1 species